GCCGGGAAAGCUCAUUCAGUAGCAGAGCAUCAGACUCUUAAUCUGUGGGUCGUGGGUUUGAGCCCCACGCUGGGCA